UACGGAGGGUGCGAGCGUUGUCCGGAAUCACUGGGCGUAAAGGGCGCGUAGGCGACAGGCCAAGCGUGCGGUGAAAGUCCGGGGCUCAACCCCGGAUCUGCCGUGCGGACUGGUUUGCUAGAGCACUGUAGAGGCGAGUGGAAUUCCGGGUGUAGCGGUGGAAUGCGUAGAGAUCCGGAAGAACACCGGUGGCGAAGGCGGCUCGCUGGGCAGUGGCUGACGCUGAGGCGCGACAGCGUGGGGAGCAAACAGG
rnacentral:rRNA from 1 species